rnacentral:rRNA from 1 species
AUUGAACGCUGGCGGCAUGCCUUACACAUGCAAGUCGAACGGCAGCACGGGAGCAAUCCUGGUGGCGAGUGGCGAACGGGUGAGUAAUAUAUCGGAACGUGCCCAGUAGUGGGGGAUAACUGCUCGAAAGAGCAGCUAAUACCGCAUACGACCUGAGGGUGAAAGCGGGGGAUCGCAAGACCUUGCGCUAUUGGAGCGGCCGAUAUCAGAUUAGCUAGUUGGUGAGGUAAGGGCUCACCAAGGCUACGAUCUGUAGCUGGUCUGAGAGGGCGACCAGCCACACUGGGACUGAGACACGGCACAGACUCCUACGGGAGGCAGCAGUGGGGAAUUUUGGACAAUGGGCGCAAGCCUGAUCCAGCCAUGCCGCGUGCGGGAAGAAGGCCUUCGGGUUGUAAACCGCUUUUGUCAGGGAAGAAACGGCUCCUACUAAUACUGGGGGCUAAUGACGGUACCUGAAGAAUAAGCACCGGCUAACUACGUGCCAGCAGCCGCCGUAA